CUUCCCUUGUGGCUCAGUGGUAAAGAACCCCCGUGCCAAGGCAAGAGACAUGGGUUCAAUCCCUGGGUUGGGAAGAUCCACUAGAGAAGGAAAUGGCAACCCACUCCANNNNNNNNNNNNNNNNNNNNNNNNNNNNNNNNNNNNNNNNNNNNNNNNNNNNCAUGGGGUCACAAAGAGUUGGACACGACUGAGUGACUGAACAACAGCAACAAGAUACUAUAUCCAGGUCAAGUUGGCAAACACCAAGUUAGGCUAGUUAAAGGAAGGAUAAGUUAGAAGGUUCUAUUUUAAGAGGGUGGGUUGAAAACACGUUUUUCUCCACUUGUUACCACUAAAGAACAACAAUGAUAAAUAAAUAGAAGGGGUCUUCAGUGGAUGAAAGGUUUUAACAUAGUACCAGCAGCAGCAGAGAGAAGGAAAGUGGAUGAAGGUAUGAUGGUGAAGUUAUAAGGAGGAAGCCAGAGGGAAGGCUGUAUUUAAAAAAGGGCUAAAGGGAGCCAGGGAAGAGAUUCUUCCUGGAGAAAUUCAGACCCAAAGAUGGUGAGGGUCCAGAGGCUGGCAGUCCCGUGUUUCUCACCAAGCAAAGAAGUCAAGAGGUUUCCUUUAGAGAAAUGGACCUGGUUGGGUGGGGAUGGGCUAGCGGUUUAGGAAAUCUGAAAUUUUGGAGAUUCCCAGCCAAAGGGCUGUCCAUUCAGCCAUGUACCCUGAGCUCCCCAUCAGCCUUCUCAUUCAGACCUAAUGAGGAAACACCUACUUACACAACAGCAGAGAAAACUUACAUCAGUCACCUAUAAGCAAUCUAGUCCGAGGAAAACUUAGAAUCAUCAGACAUAUGUGGACGCCAGGAAUGUGAAAAGUAAACAAGCAAAAAAAAACUGAACUUGGAAAAUCAAGAAGUUAAAAAUUCUGACUUCUAUCACCAUGGAGAAGACAUUAUAUCCAUAAAACAAGAAAAGAAUAAAAUCCAUAAAGAGCUCAAGGAAACAAUAUAUACUGCUCUUUGUACCUCGCUGUAGAAAUCUUUACCUUUCGCACGUAGAACAACAAUCAUCCAGAACUGAUUCUGUGUACUGUUUGGGUAUGGAUGAAUACUUGUUUUUCACGUGUAAUAUGCAAAAGUGAUCCAAUUCUAUUUGAAAAGGACUUUCUUUUGCAAAUAUUCUGUACUGUCAUAAACUUCAGGGUG
rnacentral:lncRNA from 1 species